rnacentral:lncRNA from 1 species
GGACCGCCUGAUGCAAAGACCACUUCUUCAGGCCAACUAGAGCACCUAGCAAUGUGCUGGGAUCACUGUACGUGCAAAUUACCAGUUUCACAAAGUUAAUUGUGAAAUCCUAGGAUGCAUUCUUCAUUGUCAACUGUCAACCCACUAAAGUAAUUUUGGCUUUAUGAUUUUGAAAAUGAGCAUGAUAAUUCUUCCUGGUGUGAAUUACUCAGGGUAUGAGUGGACCAUGAAUGUUUAAGAUGGGUUAUUGCAGUGGUCAUGAGUCACAGUCGUGUGGAUGAGGAUUUAAGAAGAUACGUGACAGGAGGUGGAGGAGCACAAGGCUUUCGAGACCAUGAGUUAUAAGAAAGGUCAGGACCCUGGAUAGGUCCCUGGUGCAUAACAACUGUAAUUGUGAGAAAGCUUUCUUCCAGAUUAUUAUCUUUUAUUUAGAUUUAAGCUUCCCUGGGUGACGUCUCCCCCGAUGGAAUUCUUUGGCUUGGUUAUGGAAGAUUUCAGAGUUUGGGGGAAGAAUCACACGUCUGGAGAUCCAUACUCAAAAAAUGUGUGGAAACCAAGUGAAAUUAGGCAGCCGAGAACGCAUGGUUAGCACCACUGCUAGUGGACAAUCGCUGGCCUGAUCCUGCUGUGCUUUAACUCCACUGUUGCAUGGACUUUACACAGUCGCUACUUUCCUCAGAGCUUGGCAUCGCCCUCUGCCCUAGCUUCCUGGGAGCAGAGUUGAGAUAUCUCCUUUCAUUUGGCCUCUGGAAUGUUCUAAAUAGCAAAUGUGGGUA